UGACUACGAUGCUUAGCUGGUCUGAGAGGAUGAUCAGUCACACUGGAACUGAGACACGGUCCAGACUCCUACGGGAGGCAGCAGUGGGGAAUAUUGCGCAAUGGGGGAAACCCUGACGCAGCAAUGCCGAGUGAGUGAGGAAGGCCUUCGGGUUGUAAAGCUCUGUCAGAAGGGAAUAACGGUUCAAGGUCCAAUAGGCCUUGGAUUUGAAGGUACCUUCAAAGGAAGCACCGGCUAACUUCGUGCCAGCAGCCGCGGUAAUACGAAGGGUGCAAGCGUUGUUCGGAUUUAUUGGGCGUAAAGCGCGCGCAGGCGGAUUGUUAAGUCAGAUGUGA
rnacentral:rRNA from 1 species